rnacentral:rRNA from 1 species
UACGAAGGGGGCUAGCGUCGCUCGGAAUGACUGGGCGUAAAGGGCGCGUAGGCGGCUUGCACCGUCAGAUGUGAAAUUCCUGGGCUUAACCUGGGGGCUGCAUUUGAUACGUGUGGGCUUGAGUGCGGAAGAGGGUCGUGGAAUUCCCAGUGUAGAGGUGAAAUUCGUAGAUAUUGGGAAGAACACCGGUGGCGAAGGCGGCGACCUGGUCCGUGACUGACGCUGAGGCGCGAAAGCGUGGGGAGCAAACAGG